rnacentral:rRNA from 1 species
AACGAACGCUGGCGGCGUGGAUAAGACAUGCAAGUCGAGCGGGAACUUUCGCUGUAGCAAUACAGUGAAAGUUCUAGCGGCGAACGGGUGCGUAACACGUGGACAAUCUGCCUUAAAGUGGGGGAUAGCUCGGCGAAAGCCGAAUUAAUACCGCAUGUGAUGAGAGACGACAUCGUCUUGAAAUCAAAGCCGGGGCAACCUGGCGCUUUUUGAGGAGUCCGCGGCCUAUCAGCUUGUUGGUGAGGUAACGGCUCGCCAAGGCUAUGACGGGUAGCUGGUCUGAGAGGACGACCAGUCACACUGGAACUGAGACACGGUCCAGACACCUACGGGUGGCAGCAGUCGAGAAUUUUUGACAA